rnacentral:rRNA from 1 species
AAUCCAUAGGUUAAUGAGGCGAACCGGGGGAACUGAAACAUCUAAGUACCCCGAGGAAAAGAAAUCAACCGAGAUUCCCCCAGUAGCGGCGAGCGAACGGGGAGGAGCCCAGAGCCUGAAUCAGCAUGUGUGUUAGUGGAAGCGUCUGGAAAGGCGCGCGAUACAGGGUGACAGCCCCGUACACAAAAGCGCAUGUGCUGUGAGCUCGAUGAGUAGGGCGGGACACGUGGUAUCCUGUCUGAAUAUGGGGGGACCAUCCUCCAAGGCUAAAUACUCCUGACUGACCGAUAGUGAACCAGUACCGUGAGGGAAAGGCGAAAAGAACCCCGGCGAGGGGAGUGAAAAAGAACCUGAAACCGUGUACGUACAAGCAGUGGGAGCACAGGUUUACCUGUGUGACUGCGUACCUUUUGUAUAAUGGGUCAGCGACUUAUAUUCUGUAGCAAGGUUAACCGUAUAGGGGAGCCGGAGGGAAACCGAGUCUUAAUUGGGCGUUAAGUUGCAGGGUAUAGACCCGAAACCCGGUGAUCUAGCCAUGGGCAGGUUGAAGGUUGGGUAACACUAACUGGAGGACCGAACCGACUAAUGUUGAAAAAUUAGCGGAUGACCUGUGGCUGGGGGUGAAAGGCCAAUCAAACCGGGAGAUAGCUGGUUCUCCCCGAAAGCUAUUUAGGUAGCGCCUCGUGAAUUCAUCUCCGGGGGUAGAGCACUGUUUCGGCUAGGGGGCCAUCCCGGCUUACCAACCCGAUGCAAACUGCGAAUACCGGAGAAUGUUAUCACGGGAGACACACGGCGGGUGCUAACGUCCGUCGUGAAGAGGGAAACAACCCAGACCGCCAGCUAAGGUCCCAAAGUCAUGGUUAAGUGGGAAACGAUGUGGGAAGGCCCAGACAGCCAGGAUGUUGGCUUAGAAGCAGCCAUCAUUUAAAGAAAGCGUAAUAGCUCACUGGUCGAGUCGGCCUGCGCGGAAGAUGUAACGGGGCUAAACCAUGCACCGAAGCUGCGGCAGCGACGCUUAUGCGUUGUUGGGUAGGGGAGCGUUCUGUAAGCCUGUGAAGGUGUGUCGUGAGGCAUGCUGGAGGUAUCAGAAGUGCGAAUGCUGACAUAAGUAACGAUAAAGCGGGUGAAAAGCCCGCUCGCCGGAAGACCAAGGGUUCCUGUCCAACGUUAAUCGGGGCAGGGUGAGUCGACCCCUAAGGCGAGGCCGAAAGGCGUAGUCGAUGGGAAACGGGUUAAUAUUCCCGUACUUGGUGUUACUGCGAAGGGGGGACGGAGAAGGCUAUGUUGGCCGGGCGACGGUUGUCCCGGUUUAAGCGUGUAGGUGUGUGUUCCAGGUAAAUCCGGUUCACUUUAACACUGAGGCGUGAUGACGAGGCACUACGGUGCUGAAGUAACAAAUGCCCUGCUUCCAGGAAAAGCCUCUAAGCAUCAGGUAACAUCAAAUCGUACCCCAAACCGACACAGGUGGUCAGGUAGAGAAUACCAAGGCGCUUGAGAGAACUCGGGUGAAGGAACUAGGCAAAAUGGUGCCGUAACUUCGGGAGAAGGCACGCUGACACGUAGGUGAAGUGAUUUACUCACGGAGCUGAAGUCAGUCGAAGAUACCAGCUGGCUGCAACUGUUUAUUAAAAACACAGCACUGUGCAAACACGAAAGUGGACGUAUACGGUGUGACGCCUGCCCGGUGCCGGAAGGUUAAUUGAUGGGGUCAGCGCAAGCGAAGCUCCUGAUCGAAGCCCCGGUAAACGGCGGCCGUAACUAUAACGGUCCUAAGGUAGCGAAAUUCCUUGUCGGGUAAGUUCCGACCUGCACGAAUGGCGUAAUGAUGGCCAGGCUGUCUCCACCCGAGACUCAGUGAAAUUGAACUCGCUGUGAAGAUGCAGUGUACCCGCGGCAAGACGGAAAGACCCCGUGAACCUUUACUAUAGCUUGACACUGAACAUUGAGCCUUGAUGUGUAGGAUAGGUGGGAGGCUUUGAAGUGUGGACGCCAGUCUGCAUGGAGCCGACCUUGAAAUACCACCCUUUAAUGUUUGAUGUUCUAACGUGGACCCGUUA